GUCCCAUUAUAGCAUUACAUGUUUUCUUAUGGUAUUGGUGGUCAUUUUAACAAGAGCUCAGCACGAAGACCAGUUUUGGCUUGGAAAGUUAUCUGUUUAAUUUCAGUGUUAUGGACCAGGACCCUUAGUCCCUCAUGGUACAGGAAGGGCAAAUGCCAGUCAAUUAAUGAUGAUAUACCAGACAAUGACUUCAAAACUGGCCUAAGUCACUUAGGAAUGCUAGCCCCACUUUCAAGAACGAUGGGGAUGCUUAGAUGCCAAGAUGGGAGCAAACUGCAAAUUUUGGAUCAAGACGUCUUUUGCACCCAUAAAAUUUGGGGAUGUCUACAUCAGGGGAUUUUGAUUCAGCUGGCUCUUGGAAGGGGCGAUUCAGCUCAGAUUUGGCUUACGUUCCAGUCUGCACAAAAUACAGAGGAAUUUGCACAUGAGCUUCUGUUUCCAAGUAGGAUAACGCAUAAAAGAAGCGGCUCAGAAGGUGCUAUUAUACUCUAGAUGCAAUGAGCUCUGCAGUUGGUGGUGACAGCAGUUACCUGACGGAAUGCCAUCUUGACAGUCCACAGAAAAGGAAGCUGCAGAGCCCAGCAUCUUUCCUGGCCUGAGGAAACAGUGGAAGUAAGAGCUCAUGGGUGCUGGUUACCCAGGAAGCACAGAUAAUUAGAUAGGUAGCUGCAAGAGGCUGUAUUGUAGAUUAAUCAUGGGAUUUAAGCAACUUUGGUCAUCUGCCUCCAUAAUCCAGAUGCCCAGAAGCUCUCACUUGGAGACUGCAAGUCCUGCAGACUCUCCAGUGGUAUCAGCACAUGCAGGUGUUGGUGUAAACACAAACACACUUCCAUUGUUUGUAAGCAUGUGCCCAGGAUCAUGCAGUCUCAUAAAGGCAAGCUGUUAUCUCCUCAGUUUCAACAAAUUCCACAAAUCAAGAGGCUUAAAGUGUUUUUUAAUGUGUUCUGUUAGCAAGGCUACAGCCAACUGUCCUCCUUGACUAUAUAAUUCUAAGUACUUUGACCAAAACAGGUAUGAUACAUAAAUUUAAAUAAAUCCUUCCCUUGAUUCCAUGUCUUGAAGUGGAGGUCUGAGUUUCCUCUUACUAUUACUUACUUAGGUAGGGCAAAUGGCUAUGUCCUAUGUAGGUUCUUGCAUAUUAUCUGCUCUGGUGGAACAUCCUAAACUGUGGCUUAACUUGGAAAGAAUGGCUGUUUAAUAACCAACUGUACUGAGAAC
rnacentral:lncRNA from 7 species